GAGGUGGCCCCACUGGAGCCGAUGCCAGGGUGGGAGUGGGGCAGGUCACCAGACAUACAAACCGCUCCUCACUCGCGUCCCUAUACGCCAGGCCUGGCGACCGCCGUCUCAGCAGGACCCGCGGUGAUCGAGUGUUGGUUCGUGGAGGAUGCGAGCGGAAAGGGCCUGGCCAAGAGACCCGGUGCACUGCUGUUGCGCCAGGGACCGGGGGAACCGCCGCCCCGGCCGGACCUCGACCCUGAGCUCUAUCUCAGUGUACACGACCCCGCGGGCGCCCUCCAGGCUGCCUUCAGGCGGUAUCCCCGGGGCGCCCCCGCACCACACUGCGAGAUGAGCCGCUUCGUGCCUCUCCCCGCCUCUGCGAAAUGGGCCAGCGGCCUGACCCCCGCGCAGAACUGCCCGCGGGCCCUGGAUGGGGCUUGGCUGAUGGUCAGCAUAUCCAGCCCAGUCCUCAGCCUCUCCAGCCUCUUGCGACCACAGCCAGAGCCUCAGCAGGAGCCUGUUCUCAUCACCAUGGCAACAGGUAGCUGGGGAGGGGAGGUGGAGAAGGGUGGGUAGAUUCUAAGGGUCCAGAUCAGCCGGUGGUCUCGCUUUAUGGACUUGAGCAAGACAUUUCGCCAAUCGGGGUUCAGUUUCCUUUUUUUGUUAAGAGAGGUGGUUUGGCUAGAAUGAAUCAAUCUCUACCGCUCCUUCUAGCCCUCACCCAGUUAAAAAAAAAAACAAAAA
rnacentral:misc_RNA from 1 species